ACAUCUGUUAAAUGGCGCUAGUAUCGCUUUUGGCAAGCUUUGAUUUUAGUUCCUAGUUUAUCUGUAGGGUGUUACAAAUUGAUGAUAAUAUAUGUAUCUUUAUAUUGUACCUGUAGCUGCGAAGUAUCGAUUAGGCCUGCGCAGUGCAAUGUUUAUUGACCUUUAGAGUUGCGUCUAGGAUAUUUUGACACACGAGUUUGCAAGAGGGGCAGGUGAGGAGAGUAUAGGAGGGCCUGAAUUCAAGCUUAGAGAGAGAAUUCAGCAGAUCAAAAGGUCAUGGUCAUCAGAAUGAAUGCGAGAUGUUUCUUCAUGUUAGUGGGCACGUUCCUCGUGAACGUACUGUACCCAGUGGAGCCGUUGUACCAUAUCUUCUACAGCGGCGUGCCUUGGGUCAUGUCGGCGCAGUAUCUGAGGAAACUGUGGAUGACGCUUAUGUAUGAGAAUCAGGGUCGUGUUGAGCUGAACAGUCUUGUGCAGUAAGAAGCAGAGUUGCUGCCUUAACGAGCAGUCGUCUAGAUGUCGUGUUUAUACAACAGGCUGCUCGACUGAUUUUAUCUUCAAUUUUGUAUGACUGAAUCGGAAAACACUAUCCCUAAAAUUCUUUAGACACUUCUGGAUUUAUUUUGAAACUAUUACAUUAUAAUUUAACUAAUCUUCAAAAUAAUUAACUAACGUUUUUUGGACAUGUUUUUUUUAAAGCUAUUACAAUGUAAUCUACUUUAAUUAAGUUAUCAAAAUCAAUUUAGGAUUGGAGCUAUAUAUACCUUUACCAUAAACACCGCUAUGUUUUACAAUAUUUCUCAAAAAUUAAUACAACUGAGAUUCUACUUUGACUUAUAUGGGAUAAAGUAUGUUUAAUUUUAUAGUUACCUUGUAUGUUAUUAUUGUGGAAUAUUAUUUGUAAUGUACAUAUUUAAUUUAUUUCAUGCGUUCACAAUCUAUCAUUUUGUUAUCAAAGCUAUCUUUCUGUUAGUGUUAAUUUAAGAUUCAGAGGUAUUAAUUUAAUAAACCAAACAUAUGAGUUCUUAAGUAAAUUAGUUUAUAUUAAUGAGGUACUUAAAAUACUGCCAGAAGUUCGAAAAGUUAAAAUUUUGACGCAUUUUUAAGUAAUAUAUUAUACUCAUAUAACAUUCUUUAUACUCGUACAUUUUUGAAUAUAGCAUAACCCAAUAAAUAAAAAAAUUCGUAAUAAAAUAUUUGUAUCAACGUUUUCAGAAAAAAACCCGUAAUCGUUCUUUAAUUUUCGAAAUGUAAUAUACGUUGUAAAGCACCUUACGUAACUAUUUCGUAUAAUUAUCUUACUAAUAUUUUAAAUGCGAAGAUUUGUGAGUUUGUGUGUAUGUUUGUUACUCAAUCAUGGCUAAAGAAAUCGGUCUUAAAUUUGGACCACAGCAAGCCAUAAUCUGGUCCAAAUAGUUAAUCCCAACAUAUGAUACUUUUAUCACAAGGCAACGUUGGUGAAGCCGCAGAUUCGGUUAUCCGGUUUGUUUAAGAUUUUGUCUUGAUAAAGUGUUCGACUGGAUGACAAUAACGCAUUUUUUAUUGUUUCGUUUUUAAUAAAAAUUGGCGUUUUG